GAUUACUUCAUUCCAUUUCCAUUAAUGCACUUUAUUCAUCAUCUUCUUCUUCUUCUUCUUCUUUUUCUUUUUUGAUCAAUGAGUUAAAGAUUGGUGGUUAGCCUUGAUGUAUAGGAGGUUUAGCCUUCCUUGAUUCAAAUGUAAUUCAUCUUGAUCAUGGAUCAAGUGAAUGGCUUUGCAUUAAGGAUAGGUUGCUUCCUAAUCAAGCAAAAAACCUAAAUCAAUACAAGAUCAUUU
rnacentral:lncRNA from 1 species